rnacentral:rRNA from 1 species
GACGAACGCUGGCGGCGUGCCUAAUACAUGCAAGUUGAGCGCUGAAGGUUGGUACUUGUACCAACUGGAUGAGCAGCGAACGGGUGAGUAACGCGUGGGGAAUCUGCCUUUGAGCGGGGGACAACAUUUGGAAACGAAUGCUAAUACCGCAUAAAAACUUUAAACACAAGUUUUAAGUUUGAAAGAUGCAAUUGCAUCACUCAAAGAUGAUCCCGCGUUGUAUUAGCUAGUUGGUGAGGUAAAGGCUCACCAAGGCGAUGAUACAUAGCCGACCUGAGAGGGUGCUCGGCCCCAUUGGGACUGAGACACGGCCCAAACUCCUACGGGAGGCAGCAGUAGGGAAUCUUCGGCAAUGGACGAAAGUCUGACCGAGCAACGCCGCGUGAGUGAAGAAGGUUUUCGGAUCGUAAAACUCUGUUGGUAGAGAAGAACGUUGGUGAGAGUGGAAAGCUCAUCAAGUGACGGUAACUACCCAGAAAGGGACGGCUAACUACGUG